rnacentral:rRNA from 1 species
UUCCUUAGGUGAACCUGCGGAGGGAUCAUUA